UGGCCAGGUGCCAGUCCUCUGCCUCCUUCUGUGCCUGCCUGGCUGCCUCUACCUUGGGGCUACCGCCUAGCCCCCACCUCACCUACUGGCUCACUGAGACAGAGCCAAACAUGAAAGGGAAGGUGAAGGCCUGGCCAUAGGGCCCAGGAAAAUGCAGGUAUCAUUAACAGCCUGGUGCACUGCGGCCUGUCCACUCUCAACCCUCUGCUGCCCACCCCUUCCUGGAAUAGACCCCAGGCCACAUGCAGAGGCGGCAAGUCCAAGCCAUGAUUGAAGGAGAUCCCAUCUUGGGUCUAUAGGAAUGGGGGUGAAGACUGCAUCUUGUCGUUUCAGUUCCACCUCAUUCUGGCCAUGAGAAGCAUUUGUGGGCUUCUACUCUAUGGGAGAUUCAUAGC
rnacentral:lncRNA from 1 species